AUUUUUUAGCACGAAAUGGUAUACGAUCGUUUGGGUGUUUGAAAUUUUGUUGUUGUUGUUUCAACAAUGAGUAACUUUUAAAAAGUGAUUAAUCCAAUAUAUCAAUAAAAUCAAUAGAAAAUGUUCUACCGAUAACGAAAAAAUAUAUUAUUGACUACAAGUGGCAUUGGUGUAUGCCUGAUAUAUGGAGUGCCGAACCCAGGAUACGUCGCGCAGUCGUCGCUUAUAUGCGACGCUCGUACCCACAGGUCAUUUCGUGGAUGUCGCCUAUAAGCGCCACCCGAAGCGAAAGGAGUUAAAGUUAGCCUAAAAAGUAGAGAAGAACACGCUUUUCCAGACGAAGCCUGUCCCACGGAUUGAUAAAUUCGGUGGUGAAAUGACCCAUGUCAGCGACGAGGAUGGAGCGCUCAGCAUCGUAGUACAGCGGGAUGAAGUGAAGAAGGCCGUCAAACGAUUAAACUCCGAAAAAACUGCUGGCGUGGAUGGGAUACCUGAAUAAGUAGCGAAAUUAGUAGCGGAGCAAAGGGGAUUCGGGGAACUCUUAAACAUGUUCAACGAUAUAAAUAGAACGGGCCUAUUGGUAUUCUGCCGGUGUCGAGCAAGGCGUGGGAACAUACCUUCAAAGCCCUCGUCGAGAGGAACCUGGGACAGGAACCCACCCACGCCGAUCAUUUCGGAUGUAGGAGGAGAAGAGGUACGGUCGACGCGCUAUGUGUCUGUAGAGGACAGGUAUAUAUGGAUAUUUGAUCGUGAGAUUAAUUGGAGAUUGUCGUUUGUUGUCACAACCGUCGAAUUUAUUUAAAACAAUAAGUUAAUGUACAGCCUAUAUUCGUUGAGUCGUUAGUACAAAGUAUAAAUAGUAAAAUAAAAUCGCGGAUAAAUACUCGAUAAAUACUCGUCUAAUAAUUCGGUAGAUAACACUUAGAUCGCUCGUUGGUACAGAAAGAUACUCGGAAAUACUAAACUCUUUUCGGUUGGUUGGGCACUCGGUCGGAAGAUUCAAAUUCGUCUUUGUUCGACGGUUAUGCAUAGCUGCGACAUCGUUUUUCCCAAAGUUUACCUAUUAUUACAUUAUUUGUAUCCUAACGAUAUUGAUA